UGGGGAAUAUUGGGCAAUGGGCGGAAGCCUGACCCAGCCACGCCGCGUGAGUGAUGAAGGCCUUCGGGUCGUAAAGCUCUGUGGGGAGGGACGAACAAGCCUGGUGUUAAUAACACCGGGCCCUGACGGUACCUCCUUAGCAAGCACCGGCUAACCCUGUGCCAGCAGCCGCGGUAAUACAGGGGGUGCAAACGUUGCUCGGAAUCAUUGGGCGUAAAGCGCACGUAGGCGGUUCGUUAUGUCGGAUGUGAAAGCCCUUGGCUUAACCGAGGAAGUGCAUCCGAAACUGGCGAGCUAGAGUACUAAAGAGGAUCGCGGAAUUCCCGGUGUAGAGGUGAAAUUCGUAGAUAUCGGGAGGAACACCGGUGGCGAAGGCGGCGAUCUGGGUAGAUACUGACGCUGAGGUGCGAAAGCGUGGGGAGCAAACAGGAUUAGAUACCCCCGUAGUCC
rnacentral:rRNA from 1 species